GGAAGAUGUAAAUUCAACUCUAAUGCCGACUAGAAGAAUCAAAGAAGAAAAGAAAGGUGGAGAAAGCUGUCACAGUCAAGUACCAAACUAGAGCCAGGAGAUCUGAGCAUCAAUGGUAGAAGUCAAAAGCAUCGGACGAAGGAUCCUAUUUCCAGUGAUGACUAAGUGACCUGGUGCCCCGAAGCUGAUGCAGGAAAGGCUGCAGCACAUUACCGAGUCGGGUCUUGUCUACUCAGAAGCAUGCCGUAUUCCAACGCAGCAGCUAGAAACUCUUUGAAGUCUGUUUUAGCCGUCUGUUCUUUUAAAUUGUCAAUAAUAUAAACACAGCAAUCAACACA
ensembl:lincRNA Gm20714 predicted gene 20714